AUUGCGUGCAAAGAGGUAACAUUGCUUGGUGCGCCACAACAGCUGCAGCAAACAGAGAGAUAACAAGAUGUACAGGGUUAUGGCAGUCGCAUGCGUUGCACAUUUUUAAAUUAUAGAUCAUGCAGAAUAAAACAAUAUAACAAGCAUAGUGCUGUUAAGUAAGACUUUUAUAGCUAUUCUAUGCACUAAUUAAACAGUGGUUGUAUAACUAUUUAGUUAUAGGCUUAUGCAAAAUAACAUCAGAUACAGGUUUCUCUAGUUAAUUAAAGUUAACCACCAGGGGGCAGUGAGUUGCUGGGUCAGUCGGCUAACAUAUACAUGUG